rnacentral:rRNA from 1 species
UAAUACGGAGGGUGCAAGCGUUAUCCGGAUUUACUGGGUUUAAAGGGUGUGUAGGCGGAUCUUUAAGUCAGUGGUGAAAUCUCCGAGCUUAACUUGGAAACUGCCAUUGAUACUAUUGAUCUUGAAUUCUGUUGAGGUGGGCGGAAUAAGUCAUGUAGCGGUGAAAUGCAUAGAUAUGACUUAGAACACCAAUUGCGAAGGCAGCUCGCUAAGCAGAUAUUGACGCUGAGGCACGAAAGCGUGGGGAUCAAACAGGAUUAGAUACCCUGGUAGUCCACGCCCUAAACGAUGAUUACUCGACAUACGCGAUACACAGUGUGUGUCUGAGCGAAAGCAUUAAGUAAUCCACCUGGGAAGUACGACCGCAAGGUUGAAACUCAAAUGAAUUGACGG